GAUGAACGCUGGCGGCGUGCCUAAUACAUGCAAGUCGAGCGAACGGACGAGAAGCUUGCUUCUCUGAUGUUAGCGGCGGACGGGUGAGUAACACGUGGAUAACCUACCUAUAAGACUGGGAUAACUUCGGGAAACCGGAGCUAAUACCGGAUAAUAUUUUGAACCGCAUGGUUCAAAAGUGAAAGACGGUCUUGCUGUCACUUAUAGAUGGAUCCGCGCUGCAUUAGCUAGUUGGUAAGGUAACGGCUUACCAAGGCAACGAUGCAUAGCCGACCUGAGAGGGUGAUCGGCCACACUGGAACUGAGACACGGUCCAGACUCCUACGGGAGGCAGCAGUAGGGAAUCUUCCGCAAUGGGCGAAAGCCUGACGGAGCAACGCCGCGUGAGUGAUGAAGGUCUUCGGAUCGUAAAACUCUGUUAUUAGGGAAGAACAUAUGUGUAAGUAACUGUGCACAUCUUGACGGUACCUAAUGAGAAAGCCACGGCUAACUACGUG
rnacentral:rRNA from 1 species